GACGAACGCUGGCGGCGUGCUUAACACAUGCAAGUCGAACGGUGAAGCGCCUUCCUUUUUGGUGGGUGUGGAUGAGUGGCGAACGGGUGAGUAACACGUGAGUAACCUGCCCCCUUCUUCUGGAUAACUGCAUGAAAGUGUGGCUAAUACGGGAUAUUCUGGGUCUGUCGCAUGAUGGGUCUGGGAAAGAUAUUGUUUCGGUGGGGGAUGGGCUCGCGGCCUAUCAGCUUGUUGGUGGGGUGAUGGCCUACCAAGGCGGUGACGGGUAGCCGGCCUGAGAGGGUGGACGGUCACACUGGGACUGAGACACGGCCCAGACUCCUACGGGAGGCAGCAGUGGGGAAUAUUGCACAAUGGGCGCAAGCCUGAUGCAGCGACGCCGCGUGAGGGAUGGAGGCCUUCGGGUUGUGAACCUCUUUCGCCAGUGAAGCAGGCCUGCCUCGUUUGUGGGUGGGUUGACGGUAGCUGGAUAAGAAGCGCCGGCUAACUACGUG
rnacentral:rRNA from 1 species